rnacentral:misc_RNA from 1 species
UACGUAGGGUCCAAGCGUUAUCCGGAAUCAUUGGGCGUAAAGAGCUCGUAGGCGGUUCAGCAAGUCGGCUGUGAAAGUCCGAGGCUCAACCUCGGAAUUGCAGUCGAUACUGCUGUGACUCGAGUCCGGUAGAGGAGAAUGGAAUUCUCGGUGUAGCGGUGAAAUGCGCAGAUAUCGAGAGGAACACCAGUAGCGAAGGCGGUUCUCUGGGCCGGCACUGACGCUGAGGAGCGAAAGCGUGGGGAGCAAACAGG